GGAGUUUGGUCCGUGUCUCAGUACCAAUGUGGGGGACCUUCCUCUCAGAACCCCUACUGAUCGUCGCCUUGGUGGGCCGUUACCCCGCCAACCGGCUAAUCAGACGCAUCCCCAUCCCUUACCGAUGAAUCUUUGCUUCACGUUAGAUGCCCGCUGUGAAGAACAUAGGGUAUUAAUCCGACUUUCGCCGGGCUAUGC
rnacentral:rRNA from 1 species